rnacentral:rRNA from 1 species
GUGUCAGCAGCCGCGGUAAGACAGAGGGUGCAAACGUUGUUCGGAAUUACUGGGCGUAAAGCGAGUGUAGGCGGUUUGGUAAGUCGGAUGUGAAAGCCCCGGGCUCAACCCGGGAAGUGCACUCGAUACUGCCAAGCUAGAGUAUCGGAGAGGUUGGUGGAAUUCUCGGUGUAGAGGUGAAAUUCGUAGAUAUCGAGAGGAACACCGGUGGCGAAGGCGGCCAACUGGACGAAUACUGACGCUGAGACUCGAAAGCGUGGGGAGCAAACAGGAUUAGAUACCCUGGUAGUCC